rnacentral:rRNA from 1 species
UGGGGAAUAUUGGGCAAUGGGCGAAAGCCUGACCCAGCAACGCCGCGUGAGGGAAGAAGGUUUUCGGAUUGUAAACCUCUGUCCUUGGGGACGAAAAAAAUGACGGUACCCAAGGAGGAAGCCCCGGCUAACUACGUGCCAGCAGUCGCGGUAAUACGUAGGGGGCGAGCGUUGUCCGGAAUUACUGGGCGUAAAGGGUGCGUAGGCGGUUGUCUAAGUCAGAUGUGAAAUCCCCGGGCUCAACUCGGGUGGUGCAUUUGAAACUGGGCAACUAGAGUGCAGGAGAGGGAAGCGGAAUUCCUAGUGUAGCGGUGAAAUGCGUAGAUAUUAGGAGGAACACCAGUGGCGAAGGCGGCUUUCUGGACUGUAGCUGACGCUGAGGCACGAAAGCGUGGGGAGCAAACAG